UUUUUGUGUGCAAAACAAGUUUGAUUUGUGUGCAACACAUUUUUUUAUGUACAACCUUUUGGCAGGAAACUAACUCCAUACUUUAUUAUUUCAAAGACAAGACUGUGGAAUUUGGGAAAUCUUCCUGGAUAAGUCCUAUUGAUCAGCAACAAUGUCCAAAAAUAUUCACUGAGUGCCCUAACUGGAAGAUGAAGAUGGAUGGAUAUAAAGUGGGACAUCAAAGGGAGAACAAAGUCGGACAGUCCAACGUUUGAUGGUGAUGAGUGGUGGAACAGGAAACCGGCAGACUGUACCAGAUGGCGGCGGAGUGAUGUUGACGGUGGCUGGAGCAGGAGGACAUAGUGGAGUCGAAGCCGGAGGACUUGAGGGAACGCAGGCAGGUAGGCAGAGACGAGGGAAGGCUGGUAGGCAGACACAGGGCUGGCUGGAGACGGGCAUACGAUGUGGGACGAAGGACGCUGGGAGAUGUGAGGCAUGAGCAGACACGGGAAGGACGUUGUCGAACCAGCAGCGAAAGCAGAAAUGAGAGGAGUUUAUGUAGGAGGUUGAACAGGUGGAAUGAGUCCAGACUUGAUUAUUGCAGCAGGUGAAACUGAUCCAGCAUGGAGUGAAGCAGGGGAGAGGAGGUAGUGGAAGGCUCUGGAACUGUCCAUGGUGCAGCAGGAAGAACUGCAUCCUGACACACUCAAAAAUGAUUUACUAAUUUUAAAAUAUAUAAUUUUAUCUACACAUAUUUUUGGUAGACGGAGGUCAGACGUUUCUGAUGAGAUUAAAAGAAUAAU